CAAAGGCAAACUGGGGAGUUUUGAAAAAAAGGGACUUUUUGUCAACCAAGAUGCUCUUCAACAGCUAACAUCGCUCAACCAGAGUUUCCCUCAAUCCAAAUGUGUGGAAAAUUGUCAUCCUGGAUUUGUCAAGCAGGCUCGAGAAGGAGAGCCAGUUUGCUGCUACGAUUGCAUUCCUUGUCCAAAGGGGACCAUCUCCACUCAGGAAGAUACUGAAAAAUGCACCCAGUGCCCAGAUGAUCAAUAUCCAACUGCGAACCGAAUCCAAUGUAUCCCAAAAAGAAUAAUCUUCCUGUC